UACGUAGGGUGCAAGCGUUAUUCGGAAUUACUGGGCGUAAAGCGUGCGCAGGCGGUUUCUUAAGUCAGGUGUGAAAGCCCCGGGCUUAACCUGGGAACUGCGUUUGAAACUGGGAGACUUGAGGGUGGCAGAGGGGGGUGGAAUUCCACGUGUAGCAGUGAAAUGCGUAGAUAUGUGGAGGAACACCGAUGGCGAAGGCAGCCCCCUGGGUUAACACUGACGCUCAUGCACGAAAGCGUGGGGAGCAAACAGG
rnacentral:rRNA from 1 species